UGCUGAUGCUGCCCUUCUGAGGACCACACUGUGAGUAACCAGACCAUAAACAAACCUCAUCACUCUGAGGUCAGCUUGCCUUCCGCAGCAAAACACAGCCAAAGGGCAGCCAGAGGUAUCACACCCUCCGGUAGGAGCUGGGCAAUGCGUGUAUCCCUCUGAAAUUUCUGUGUGACUCUUGGGAUACCUGCCAGCAGACGUGUGUUCACAGGCUCCAUCCUGCAGAAGACAUACAAACCAGACCUUCUCCCUCUCUCUGGAGACAGGGCAGCAGAAAGCAAUUUCUACUCAUACAAACUUUAAGAAAUAAAAUUUUAGCAUAUGUUUAAUAAAAAUAAAAUGUCACAUUAUGCCAUGCCUUGUAUGAAGUGCUCUCUCUCAACCUCCAUAAGUAAUGAUAUUACCCUGGGAUCUGUCCGCAGUCAGGGCGAGUUUGUAGGGAGCUGUCCCCACCUUCUCCACCCAGACCCUUGUGAACAGCAUCAUGAAUUUUUUAGAUGGUUGGCUGGACUUGGGAGCGCAGUUCAGAGCUAUCGGACAGAUCUUCCGGUGAGAGUAGCAAACUGGUCUGGAGAGGAGCCCAUGACUUUGGCCUCUUUGCCCUGGAAGAUUUUGCCGUGGCCCUGAAUAUCUGCAGAUCCUCUGACCUUCCCUAUCCCUGUCUGGCUACACCCCAAAUGGCUUUCCCUGGUAAAAGCUGGGUUAGCAAAGAAGCAAGCUUCACAGGAAGUUAGGAUGAGUUUGGCUUUCUGCUGUCCUCACGAACUCUGACCUAUGUUGAAGGACUGGGUCUCAUCGUUGUACAGACAGAGAUUUGUCUCUGGACUCUUCAUGACCUCUGCCAGCUUCCUGCUCAUAAAUCCAAGGCCUCUGCCUAUUCUCUGUCUCCAAAAUGCGUGUCCUGGGUCUCCCUCCUGUUGAGCCCUAGUUCUAAUCUGCUGGCCCUGGUAGAAAGUGAAUUCCUGUUAAGAAAUUAGCUGACAACAUCUGAGGCAUGGGCUCUCCCCUGUAUGUUUCAUUUGCAUCUUAAUAGGAAUAUUCAAAACCAGAAAAUUAAAAAAAAAAAAAGAUUGAGUAUCUCGGGGUGAAAUGUCAGGCUCCUUCACACAGAGAUCUGGGGGGGCUGGUGUCCUGCAGAUCUCCCCACAUUUGUAUACGCACCUAAAACUGGCCAUAAUGUCAUUGUCAGAUCCACAGACAUCUUCAAAUCCAAAACAAAAAUAUUCACUUUGCAGCAACACCUGCCUCUCUUUGAGUGUGCGUGUGUGUGUGUGUGUGUGUGUGUGUGUUUUUCUUUGAGUGUGUUCUUAGGACUCACCAAAUCCUAGGACCCAGAACAAGGCAUGCUAAGGAGUUCAGUUUACUGGCAAUUUGGAGCACAGUCCUUUGUCAAGUGGGGUAUUUCCUCUGACAUCACUGGACUGCUCGUCAGCUCCAAAAUGGGUCUUUGCCAGGAAAACCUGAAUUGAAGAGGAGGCUGGGCCUUCGGGGAAGGGAGCCUGUGUCCUAGUGGGCUGGGUGUGUCUGCCCCAGGCAGAUCUCUCAGAGGCGCUAACUCCCUGGGCUAAUGUACUUUUGACCCAAGAGAGGAAAAAAGGUGUAAACAGUGGAGCUGCCUGAGUGGGACUUUUGAACUGCCAGGACAGCCCCAGUCCCACCUACACCAUCAGAAGCUUCAAUCUUCUUCCUAUGCUCACCUGCCUGUCUUCUCCCACCCCCUUCAUCACCCCUCCCUCCCUGUUCUCAUGAAGACCAGCCUAGGUGACCUCUUUUGCUUCCAAAACCUCCUUUGUAGUUCUCUUUGACCCCACUCCUCAAAAUGUUCUCAAUCUUUCCUCCUCCAAUGCCAGACUGUUGGCAUCUGUCUCCCAUCUUGUGCAGCCUGCCAUCCCUGGCUAACCAUGGUUUUAUAAUUGUCUCUGGUUAAAGUUUAAAUAGAUGGGUUUCAGCCCAAGAGAAAAAUGUAAACAAGCCCUUUCUGCAGUCUUUCAGAACUGCUGACUUCUAGUGCUUUUGAAUUCUGUGCUAGGAAAUUCAUUCAGCUCCUCCCUAACCAAGGAACUGAGAGCCGCCACUAGGCUUUCAAAGACGUGAGAGCCACUCUGAAACCAUCGAGAGGCUUUUAGAUAAUCUACACUUUUCUUUUUAACUCAAUUAAGCCAUCAGGAUCCAAUUCCUACUCUAGGACGUUCGUCUGGUGUAUCAGGGAGAGAACAGUUAAGCAAUCUUCAUGGGCUGGCCUCUGAAGAAAGGAAGGAAGUGGAAGGAAUUGUCAUUUCCUGGUUGGAAUUUUUUCUUUGGGGGGAGGAGGGGAUUGUAUUUGUUGCCCCAGGUUUUUGGGUUGAUGGGGCUGUCUUACGAAUCAUGAGAAUGGGAUCGUUCUCAGCCAGCGUGGAAGGAAGAGGGUGGCUCGGGUUUGAGCUGGCGAUUCAGGCAUAUGUCCCUUCAUUUGCUGUGUUUCCUCAGAAGAAAGCAGGACAUUGUUUUGAGUCUUGAUUAAGGAUAUUGAUUUUCUAUAUUUUUCUAUUUUGUGUACUUCACGUACUUGUGAUCUGGUGUCAGGACGAAUUCAGCAAUAAUUUUGGAUGUUUUAGUCAAGGAUUUGGUUGGAUCUUUGCCUUCUCCUACUCAAAAACCUUCAAUAAUUUCCCCCAUUUCAAUUUCCGGCUCCUAUUCAGAGCCUUCCAUGGGCUGGCUCCAACCCGCCUUUACCUUCCACUAUUCCAGCCAUGCACUGACCUCACCGAACUUUCCACCAGGCUCCUGUAACAUGUUCCCUUACUC